UACAGAGGAGCCAAGCGUUGUCCGGAUUGACUGGGCGUAAAGCGCACGCAGGCGGUCGCGCGCGUGGGGUGUGAAAUCUGGCCGCUUAACGGCCAGGCGCCAUCCCAUACGGCGCGACUGGAGGCUUGCAGAGGUCGGUGGAAUUGCCGGUGUAGUGGUGAAAUGCGUAGAGAUCGGCAGGAACACCCAGGGGGAAACCAGCCGACUGGGCAAGUGCUGACGCUGAGGUGC
rnacentral:rRNA from 1 species